rnacentral:rRNA from 3 species
GCGACCCCAGGUCAGUCGGGAUUACCCGCUGA